AUUGAAUUCGAUUUUUUUAUUACCUACAGGUUGUGGUUGGUCAAAUACAUCCGAAGGUAACAGCACAGGAUGCAAACUAAUAUUUACAAACAAUCACAAUGCCAACAUCUUGUACACUAUACUUGUAAAAUCGUUAUCUUUGUGACCAGAAAAAUCAACCAUUCUCGAAAAGAAAAAAAAAAAAUAGUAACAACUGAGCAUCCCACAAGGGCUUUCAACUCUAAAAGUACCGUUCCCUGAAAGAUUACUUCAGAAAAUGUUUAUGAUUUGUCAAAAAUCUAUUAAGUCUAUUACACUCAAUUUUUUGCUAUCAUGUCUAUCCUGUUCUACAACUCAGGAUCUUCGAAAGAAGAAAAAAAAACCACAAAACCAAAAAACUUGCAUACAUCUGUAAGAAUCUAAAGGAAAUUACCUCCAAGUUAGGCUCAUUUUGAAUUCGAGGAGAGUGGGUGCGCAAACCGUCCCUCUGCAACUCAGUCUCUAAUCUAUCUGCUCUUGGUGCAACUCAAAGUUUACUUGCCCCGGUAGGCAAGCUGCGCACGCGCAGAGAGCCGGCCUCUUCCCGGUUCUCACGGUCCCAGUGGCCCGCCCCGCCCCCCGCUAGCUGCGCACGCUUACCAGGCGUCCCUUAUCUGACAGGACGCGCACGGACUGCGCCCCGAAGUACUUCAGUAAGUCCUCCUUCUCCUCAGCCGUCAGCUCCGCCGGCAGGUGCCGGACGAGGAGGGUGCGGUCGCCUCGGGGAGGAGAGAGCGAAGCGGAACCUGGGCCUCCUCGCGACAGUGGCAUCGACGGCUCGGGCACCGCCAUCUUCCACGCAGAACCAGCCGGAGACAGUCCUUCCGCACAAGCUGCCGGCCAAACUCCGGCAGUCACGGAGCCUGAGCCGAAGUCAUUUUCCGCUUCGCGCUAAGCAUUCUGGACGUACGGAAAUCCCGCGUGAGUUGAUCUCGCGAGAGUGGCCUUCUGGAGAACAGCGCUUCUGUUCGCGGAUUGCCGCAGAGAGAGCUUUUAGAGCCGCGCUUUAAGUUUGAGGAGACGUUGUAAUAACAUAAAGACUGAAAGAGACACCAAUGUUAGAAAGCCAGAAAUCUAAUCGAGAAACGUCAGUCUUGUGAAACAAAGAGGCUGUAGCUCCAGAGACCAAGUACUGAAGGAACCUUGUAAGAUUGUUGCUCGCCGCGAUCUUAAUCCAGAUUUUCAGGAAGUGAAUCUGGCUGGUGAAAUGGAGAACUCUUGGGAAAUGUAAAGUGUGUUCCUAUCAUUUAGGAGUGGUGAAACACUAAGGUAUUCAGCAUAAGAUUAGACACUACAGGCAAGAGAACACGCCGUCAUCAGUCGGCAUAUACAGGCUGAAAGUUCUUGGCACUAUUUAUUAAACAGAAUUGGCUACUUCGUGAAUAAAUACCUAAAAAUGUGUAGGCAUACUUA